UAGGACCCGCUGAAGAUUCUCAGCAUCACCGCCGCCCUUAGGGCCGCGGAUUUUGGCAAGAAUUUCAGCGGAAGUGAGCGGAGCGUUUGAUCCACCUUGCCAAAUAGCAUCAGCUAGCUUGAGUUUGACAACGGCAUUGAGGGACAUAGGUACACUCAUCAUGUGAGCUAAAUCCAUUAUAGCUAACCUCGCUUUAUCAUUAGUGUUGCUUAUUUCCCCAUUUCCAUUCUCCAUGGUUUCUGCAGGUUUUUUGGCCUUCCUUUGGAGAUUAUGUUCUAUCUUGCACUUGGGGAUGUCAUGUGUUACAUUGGCCAAAUGUGGCCACUUUAUAGGGGUACUGGC
rnacentral:lncRNA from 1 species